UACCAGCACCCGAGUGGUCGGACGAUUAUUGGGCCUAAAGCAUCCGUAGCCGGUCUUGCAAGUCUUCCGUUAAAUCCACGCUGCUUAACAGAUGGCUGCGGAAGAUACUACAAGACUAGGAGGUGGGAGAGGCAAGCGGUACUCAGUGGGUAGGGGUAAAUCCUCUGAUCCAUUGAAGACCACCAGUGGCGAAGGCGGCUUGCCAGAACGCGCUCGACGGUGAGGGAUGAAAGCUGGGGAGCAACCGG
rnacentral:rRNA from 1 species